rnacentral:rRNA from 1 species
AUGUCACCAAGCAAUAAAGGCUUCGUGAUGAACUAUAAUAUGAAAGGGAUGGAAAAGACUAUUCCCGAGCUCUUCGCAAUGCUCAAAGCUCCGCAGGUAGAAAUCAAGAAGGAGCAUCAAGUGUUGAUGGUUAACAAGAUCACUAGUUUCAAGAAAAAGGGCAAAGGAAAGAAGGGGAACUUCAAGGAGAAUGGCAGCAAGUUGCCACUCCGGGGAAGAAGCCCAAAGCUGGACCCAAGCUUGAAACUGAGUGCUUCUACUACAAAGGCACUGGUUACUGUAAGCGGAACUGCCCCAAGUAUUUGGCAGACAAAAAGGAUGACAAAGUGA